rnacentral:rRNA from 1 species
AAAAGCUCGUAGUUGGAUCUCAGUUUCAGACGGGUGGUCCGCCUACCGGUGGUUACUGCCUGUUCUGAACAGCCAGCCGGUUUCUCUUGAUGAUCUUCACCGGUUGUCUCGGGUGACCGGCAAGUUUACUUUGAAAAAAUUAGAGUGCUCAAAGCAGGCGUGACGCCUGAAUAAUGGUGCAUGGAAUAAUGGAAUAGGACCUCGGUUCUAUUUUGUUGGUUUUCGGAACACGAGGUAAUGAUUAAGAGGGACAGACGGGGGCAUUCGUAUUGCGACGCUAGAGGUGAAAUUCUUGGACCGUCGCAAGACGAACUACUGCGAAAGCAUUUGCCAAGAAUGUUUCCAUUAAUCAAGAACGAAAGUUAGAGGUUCGAAGGCGAUCAGAUACCGCCCUAGUUCUAACCAUAAACGAUGCCAGCCAGCGAUCCGGCUGUGUUCCUCAAAUGACACGCCGGGCAGCUUCCGGGAAACCAAAGCUUUUGGGUUCCGGGGGAAGUAUGGUUGCAAAGCUGAAACUUAAAGGAAUUGACGGAAGGGCACCACCAGGAAUGGAGCCUGCGGCUUAAUUUGACUCAACACGGGAAAACUUACCCGGCCCGGACACAGGAAGGAUUGACAGAUUAAGAGCUCUUUCUUGAUUCUGUGGGUGGUGGUGCAUGGCCGUUCUUAGUUGGUGGAGCGAUUUGUCUGGUUAAUUCCGAUAACGAACGAGACUCUAGCCUACUAAAUAGACGCUCCGAUCAUUUAUAGUCGGACGUUCUUCUUAGAGGGACAAGCGGAGUCCAUCCGCACGAGACAGAGCAAUAACAGGUCUGUGAUGCCCUUAGAUGUCCGGGGCCGCACGCGCGCUACAUUGAAAGAGUCAGCAUGUGCUUUCCUCGUCCGACAGGACUGGAUAACCAUUUGAAUCUCUUUCGUGCUGGGGAUAGGAAAGUGAAAUUGUUUCCUUGAACGAGGAAUUCCUAGUAAGUACGAGUCAUCAGCUCGUGUUGAUUACGUCCCUGCCCUUUGUACACACCGCCCGUCGCUACUACCGAUUGAAUGAUUUAGUGAGGUCUUCGGACUGGCGCCCGAUACGGCUUUCGAGUCGCGCCGGUGUGCCGGAAAGAUGACCAAACUUGAUCAUUUAGAGGAAGUAAAAGUCGUAACAAGGUUUCC